CUGGCAGGAGGGGCAGCGGUGACAGCCUGGCUCAAAGCCCCGCCCACACAGCGGGGCUGAGGGUGGGACUCAGAUGUGGGAUCCUCCCCAGAUCCCUUCAAUCAAACUAUUACAGCCUUUAGCCCUGGCUAAAAAACAGGCUGGUUAGGAUAACAGCCAUACUAAAUAACAGAAGCACAUGAAGUAACCAAACAAGAUCAACUUGUAUUAGAGGCAAAAUUCAGAUGCAAAUCCUUGGAGUGUUGAGGUGGAGUCACGCCCAUGAACACCCUUUGAAGAUCUGCUCCCUUCCCUACCUGGCCACAGAGGGAACCGUGAUCUAUCAAUCAAACAAGGACAGAAUGUAAGACAUCUCUCAACUGUCCUGUGACAUCUAAGCAGCUCCUUAAUUGGAUGGGUAGAGGCAAAGAAGUCUUGCUCACAGAUGCAAAUACUCGGUCACCAGGAUGGAAAAGGGCCUCCAGGGCGGAGUGUCUGUGAAAAGGUUGCCGGAGCCUUGAUGACUGGUUGCCAUGGAGACCAUUUCAACCAAGGAACUGAAAUCCUCCUUUCAAGAAGACUUUGCCUGCUGCCAAAACCAGCAAUCUUCCCCAAAGGCAUUUUGUUGUAAGAGAAAUUAAAUCCUUUUUUUUUUCCUUUUCUUUUUUUAUGAAUACAACAGAGAGGUUGUAAAAAGCAAAAUAUACGAAAGAGACCCUCUGAGCACAGAAACUAUGUGCUGGCAUUUUUUAAUCGGGAGAGAGAAUAUUUGAAGGCAAAGAAUUUCUUACAUGAAUGAGGACUACACAGUCCCUUUUGGAAUUUACCCAAACUAACUUCAAUGUCAAAGAGCCAAAUGCAUAUUCCACCCGACUUUCUGGAACAUUCUGUCUCCAAUUUGUAAAAACCAAAGGACAGAAUAUUCAGUAUCACAUUUUAACUUGAUUUCCUUUGUGUACUGACAAUGUGGAGCUAGGCCUCCUGUCAAUGAAGUCAAAAGAAUGAGUUUUUGGUAACAGCCUUUUUAUGUAUAGUAGAGAUAUAGACAUUUGGAAUGGCAGAAACUUUGAGGUGAGAUAGUCCAGGAUCCUUGGUUUAUAGGAAGUCUGGAGGAGUAGGCUUAUUUGCUGAAGGUCACUUGAGAACUUCCUGGCAGAGGUUACCCACAGGUGUUAUCAGAGUCUUUCUUCAUGGCAACUCUAGAUGUUGCUCUGCGGAGUCUCAUGUUGAUUCUAGCUCUGCUCAGAAGUUUGCCCACACCUUCCUGUGACUACUGUUAUGGUUUUAAAGGUGACAAUGAUUGUGCCCCUGUGGGUACCCAAGAGUAAGAAUGGUAGGAUGAAGGAAGCUGCCAGGAAAGAGCUAGGGAGUGAGGAAAGACAUUUGAAAGGGAGCCCAGCAGAGACCGGCCAUGGCCGGAAACAGGAAAUGCUGGGAGGAUGGAAUGCUGCCAAGAAAGAAAGCAGGGGUAGUCCAAAGCAUCUGAAGAAGAGCAGUGCUGUCAAAAACACAAACAACUCUGAGGAACUGCAAGGACGGAGGCAGUAAAAAACAAUUUGUUGUUUCAUGGGAUUGAUGGUCUCAGGUUGCUCUGAUUGAAAGAGGGGGCCGGGAUCCUAGAUUGGGUAUCAAAGAUCAGGCAUUGGAACCCCUAGCUCUGCCUCUAACUGGAAACUUGGCAGAUACUUUACCUUUCUGAGUCUCAUUUUCUUUAUUUCUAAAAUAGAAGAAUCUCUGUAUCAUUCCCAAAGGCCCCUUUGUGCUCUAAUCUAUUACCCAACUGCUAAGUUAUCCACACUGAGUGCCUCAGUAGUGUGUGUGAUUGUAAAUAAAAACAGAAAAGUACACUCAUGGGUGUUGCUGGUAGUGACAAUAUAAAGAGUUAAGAAGACAACCCAGUAAGAAGGAUUGGGGGGCAACAGAAAGAAGAAGGAAGAAGCCUGGGUUCAAGUUCUGUCUUUGCCACUAACAUUGACUUUUUGUGAUAAUUUAUAUGAUAUUUUUGUGCAAAAAUACAUAUAUAUGUACAUAUUUUCAAAACAAGUAUACACUUUCAUAAACACUUUAGGAGGGUGGCUGUGAUAAGCAGACUAAUAAGCCCCCAAAGACAUCCAUGUCCCAAUCACUAGAACCUAUGACUACUACCUAAUGUGGCAAAUGGAACUUCAUAGAUGAAGUUAAGGAUCUAAAAUGAUAGUGGAUUGUCUGGGUGGACCCAGUAGAAUCACAGGGGUUUUUAUAAAGGAGAUUCACGGAAGGAUGUGACAAGGACUGGAAGACUGUGGUGCUAGCACUGAAGCCACAGGAAAAAGUCAGAAGCCUGAGAACAUAGGCAGAUUAAAAUCUGGAAAAGACAAAGAAACGGAUUCACCGCUAGAGUUUCCAGAAGAAAUACAGCCCUACCAGCCUUGAUUUUAACUUCUGACCUUCAGAACUGUAAGAGAGGACAUUUGUAUGAAGUUUGCAGUGAAUUUUUACCUAACAGCAACAGGAAAUGACACCGGCCAAUUUAGGCCUCUGCGUUUAGCCAGCAGGUGGUUUAACAUCAGUGACUCUCAACCUUGGCGACACCAGAAUGCCUUCUGAGGUGUGGUCUGUGGUGUGCCAUUGCUGAACAUUUUGACAGCAAUGUGCAGCGUGCUCUGAGAAUGGCUGAGAAUUUUGCUGGUUGAAUGUGAUUUUUCUAAGAGAAUAGGAGCUGCUUAUAAGUGAAUCGUUUUCAUUUUUUUCUUUCAUGUUUAGAUCACAUCUCUGCCCUUCCAAAAGACCAAAAAAAAAAAAAAAAAAAAAUUAUUGCCAUACUGUUUGAAUCAGAACACAAAAACAGGAGAAAAAACUAUAAGUGAGCAAAAUCAAAGCAAGUAUUUUAGAAUACUUGCUCUAUUCUGCAUUUAA